UGCCAGCAGCCGCGGUAAUACGGGGGGGGCCAGCGUUAUUCGGAAUUACUGGGCGUAAAGGGCGCGUAGGCGGUCCGUUAAGUGAGAAGUGAAGGCCCUCAGCUCAACUGAGGAAUCGCUUCUCAUACUGGCGGACUAGAGAGUGGGAGAGGGGGACGGAAUUCCCGGUGUAGCGGUGAAAUGCGUAGAGAUCGGGAGGAACACCAGUGGCGAAGGGGUUCCCUGGACCACAACUGACGCUGAGGCGCGAAAGCGUGGGGAGCAAACAGGAUUAGAUA
rnacentral:rRNA from 1 species